rnacentral:rRNA from 1 species
CGGACGGGUGAGUAAUGUCUGGGAAACUGCCCGAUGGAGGGGGAUAACUACUGGAAACGGUAGCUAAUACCGCAUAAUGUCUGCGGACCAAAGCGGGGGACCUCCGGGUCUCGCGCCAUCAGAUGAACCCAUAUGGGAUUAGCUAGUAGGUAAGGUAACGGCUUACCUAGGCGACGAUCCCUAGCUGGUCUGAGAGGAUGAUCAGCCACACUGGGACUGAGACACGGCCCAG